rnacentral:tRNA from 1 species
UCCUGUGUGGCUCAGUUGGUAGAGCAUGGUGCUUGCAACGCCAAGGUUGUUCGAUUCCCACGGGGG